UACAGAGGGUGCGAGCGUUAAUCGGAAUUACUGGGCGUAAAGCGUGCGUAGACGGUUAUGUAAGUCAGGUGUGAAAGCCCCGGGCUCAACCUGGGAAUUGCAUUUGAGACUGCAUAGCUAGGGUGCGGAAGAGGGAAGCGGAAUUUCCGGUGUAGCGGUGAAAUGCGUAGAUAUCGAGAGGAACACCUGCGGCGAAGGCGGGUUGCUGGGCUGACACUGACGCUGAUGCGCGAAAGCUAGGGGAGCGAACGGG
rnacentral:rRNA from 1 species